UGGGUAACCCGCCUCAAAGAGGGGAAUAGCCUCCCGAAAGGGAGAUUAAUACCGCAUAAUAUGUUUUAGUCGCAUGACUUAAACAUCAAAGGAUUUUCUUUUAGAAAUUCCACUUUGAGAUGGACCCGCGGCGCAUUAGCUAGUUGGUGGGGUAACGGCCUACCAAGGCGACGACGGGUAGCUGGUCUGAGAGGACGACCAGCCACACUGGAACUGAGAUACGGUCCAGACUCCUACGGGAGCAG
rnacentral:rRNA from 1 species